rnacentral:misc_RNA from 1 species
CUGAUUUGUUGUGUGGGAGCUCUGUGAGGAAAGCGGGGUAGCAGCCGAUUGGCGCAAGGUUGAACACCAUGAAUGUCCGUCCUCCAAUCUCAUACAAUUCCUCGAUGGUCGAUGCAAUCUGAGAUACGACUUGUGGGAGCUGCUUCUUGACUUCGUCGAUACCGGUAGUCGCCAAGUUGGAGGUGAAGUCGUUCUGGCCGAUGUAGAAGGUGUAGAGGGAUCUUUCAAAGAUUUUUGUAGUGGGGACUUGUCCUGGCUGGCUCAGCACAAGGGCUCUGGCAUAGAGCUCUUUUAUCUGGUUGAGCUGAAUUCCCAACGAGAAAGGGCUGAUCCCAGUCACGAAGAGGGAGGUUUUGGGCAAUAACACCGUCGAGGCCAGCGUCGCAAAGUUAGCCCCGUGCCUGAAAUUCGCGCCAACAGACUGAAGGUAUGGGCUCAAAAAUGGCAAU